AAUUUCCUAUGAAAAAAGAUAAUCUUUCCUAGACGCAAGAGUCUUUGUCAGAUUUCCUAUUUUUCUACGGAAAUU
rnacentral:ncRNA from 1 species